AGAGUAGUAUUUCUAAAAAAGAAUAUAUGAUUUGCAAUUAUAAGAUGUAAAAUAAUUACCUACUUUA
rnacentral:tRNA from 3 species